ACGGGUGAGUAUAAUGUGGGAAUCUGCCUUUUGGUUUGGAAUAACACGGGGAAACUUGUGCUAAUACCGAAUAAGCCCUUACGGGGAAAGUUUUAAUGCCGAAAGAUGAGCCCGCACUUGAUUAGCUAGUUGGUAAGGUAAAAGCUUACCAAGGCAAUGAUCAAUAGCUGUUCUUAGAGGAAGACCAGCCACAUUGGGACUGAGACACGGCCCAGACUCCUACGGGAGGCAGCAGUGGGGAAUCUUGCACAAUGGGGGAAACCCUGAUGCAGCGAUGCCGCGUGAGUGAAGAAGGCCUUUGGGUUGUAAAACUCUUUCGUCGGGGAAGAAAAUGACUGUACCCGAAUAAGAAGGUCCGGCUAACUUCGUGCCAGCAGCCGCGGUAAUACGAAGGGACCUAGCGUAGUUCGGAAUUACUGGGCUUAAAGAGCUCGUAGGUGGUUAAAAAAGUUGAUGGUGAAAUCCCAAGGCUCAACCUUGGAACUGCCAU
rnacentral:rRNA from 1 species